rnacentral:rRNA from 1 species
UACGUAGGGGGCAAGCGUUGUCCGGAAUUAUUGGGCGUAAAGAGCUCGUAGGCGGUCUGUCGCGUCUGCUGUGAAAACUCGGGGCUUAACCCCGGGCCUGCAGUGGGUACGGGCAGACUAGAGUGCGGUAGGGGAGACUGGAAUUCCUGGUGUAGCGGUGAAAUGCGCAGAUAUCAGGAGGAACACCGGUGGCGAAGGCGGGUCUCUGGGCCACUACUGACGCUGAGAAGCGAAAGCAUGGGGAGCGAACAGG